AGAGUUUGAUCAUGGCUCAGAUUGAACGCUGGCGGAAUGCUUUACACAUGCAAGUCGAACGGCAGCACGGGGCAACCUGGUGGCGAGUGGCGAACGGGUGAGUAAUACAUCGGAACGUGCCCAAUCGUGGGGAUAACGUAGCGAAAGUUACGCUAAUACCGCAUACGAUCUACGGAUGAAAGCGGGGGAUCGCAAGACCUCGCGCGAAUGGAGCGGCCGAUGUCAGAUUAGGUAGUUGGUGGGUAAAGGCUCACCAAGCCAACGAUCUGUAGCUGGUCUGAGAGGACGACCAGCCACACUGGAACUGAGACACGGUCCAGACUCCUACGGGAGGCAGCAGUGGGGAAUUUUGGACAAUGGGCGCAAGCCUGAUCCAGCCAUCCCGCGUGCAGGAUGAAGGCCUUCGGGUUGUAAACUGCUUUUGUACGGAACGAAAAGGUCCUGGUUAAUACCUGGGGCUCAUGACGGUACCGUAAGAAUAAGCACCGGCUAACUACGUG
rnacentral:rRNA from 1 species